rnacentral:rRNA from 1 species
UAAUACGUAGGGGGCAAGCGUUGUUCGGAAUUACUGGGCGUAAAGGGCGCGUAGGCGGCAUGGCAAGUCAGGAGUGAAAGGCCUGGGCUCAACCGAGGAACUGCUUUUGAGACUGCCAAGCUAGAGUGCGGAAGGGGCAACUGGAAUUCCCAGUGUAGCGGUGAAAUGCGUAGAUAUUGGGAAGAACACCGGAGGCGAAGGCGGGUUGCUGGGCCGACACUGACGCUGAGGCGCGAAAGCCAGGGGAGCAAACGGGAUUAGAUACCCCGGUAGUCCUGGCCCUAAACGAUGGAUACUUGGUGUAUGGGGUUCUUCGAGUCCCCGUGUGCCGGAGCUAACGCGUUAAGUAUCCCGCCUGGGGAGUACGGUCGCAAGGCUG